UACAGGGGGGGCAAGCGUUGUUCGGAUUUACUGGGCGUAAAGGGCGCGUAGGCGGUCGUGACAAGUCACUUGUGAAAUCUCCGGGCUUAACUCGGAACGGUCAAGUGAUACUGUCGGACUAGAGUACAGAAGGGGCAACUGGAAUUCUCGGUGUAGCGGUGAAAUGCGUAGAUAUCGAGAGGAACACCUGCGGCGAAGGCGGGUUGCUGGGCUGAUACUGACGCUGAGGCGCGAAAGCCAGGGGAGCGAACGGG
rnacentral:rRNA from 1 species